GAUGAAGAACGUAGCGAAAUGCGAUAAGUAAUGUGAAUUGCAGAAUUCAGAGAAUCAUCGAAUCUUUGAACGCACAUUGCGCCCCCUGGUAUUCCGGGGGGCAUGCCUGUCCGAGCGUCAUUACAACCCUCAAGCUCAGCUUGGUGUUGGGCCCCGCCGCCCCGGCGGGCCCUAAAGUCAGUGGCGGUGCCGUCCGGCUCCGAGCGUAGUAAUUCUUCUCGCUCUGGAGGUCCGGUCGUGUGCUCGCCAGCAACCCCCAAUUUUUUUCAGGUUGACCUCGGAUCAGGUAGGGAAACCCGCUGAACUUAAGCAUAUCAAUAAGCGGAGGA
rnacentral:misc_RNA from 1 species